rnacentral:lncRNA from 1 species
CUAUAAAUAACAAAACUUCAUGGGUGACGGAAAAAAGUUGUUAGGAUAAUAGGCUACUCCUCAAUUGUACAAAAUUUGUCUCAACACCCUCAAAAGCUUUUAUAUUUCAUUAUCUCCAUACAAUUCACAUAAGUGCAAGUGGAGCAACAUUCCACACCCUGCGUCUUCUCCCCAUCUAUCAGUCUUCCCAUUGAAAUUUCGAAGGGCC